rnacentral:rRNA from 1 species
UACGUAGGAUGCAAGCGUUGUCCGGAAUUAUUGGGCGUAAAGAGCGCGCAGGCGGCCCAUCAAGUCAGAUGUGAAAUAACCAGGCUUAACCUGGUGGGGUCAUUUGAAACUGGCGGGCUAGAGUCCAGCAGAGGAUAGCGGAAUUCCCGGUGUAGUGGUGAAAUGCGUAUAUAUCGGGAGGAACACCAGUGGCGAAGGCGGCUAUCUGGGCUGGAACUGACGCUGAGGCGCGAAGGCUAGGGGAGCAAACAGG